rnacentral:misc_RNA from 1 species
UUUCCGUUGGUGAACCAGCGGAAGGAUCAUUACAGAGUUCAUGCCCUUCGGGGUAGACCUCCCACCCUGUUUAUAUACUAUUGUUGCUUUGGCAGGCUGCCCUCACCAUGGGGCGUCCGGGUUCCGCCCGCGUCUCGCCUGCCAAAAGCCCCCUAAUUCUGUGUUCUGUGUCGUCUGAGUACUAUAUAAUAAGUUAAAACUUUCAACAACGGAUCUCUUGGUUCUGACAUCGAUGAGAACGCAGC